UUGGGGGGGGGGGAGCAAUUGCCUCCCCCCUUCCCCAAGCCUGAGGCACGGCGAUGGGGGCCAGCCGCGGAGUUUGCAGCCCCCCUCCCCUUUACAACGCUGUAGAUCCCACCACCACCCGGGGGGCUCCUGCCCGGCCCCCCCCGCACCGCGCCGGGGCCGCACGGAACAGGUGGGGGGGGCGGGGGGGCCGGGCCGGCGGCGGGCGCGGGGCGAGCGCCCGACAACAAAGGCACCGGCGGCGGCGGCAGCAGGAGGAGGAGGAGGAGGAGGAGGAGGGUUUUUUCCUCCCCCCGGUUGUUGUUGCUUGCAGCACUUAUUAAAAUAAGAGCGAAUCGUCUAAACGCGUGUUUGCGUUAAAAGGUGCUUUUCCAGCGCUGGCAGCACUGGGGGGGUGGAAGAAAACAGGCGUCGCGCUCGGGGCUCCUUAAAAAAUAGUGGUGUUGAGGCAGGCGGGUUGUGGUGGCUCUCCGAGAAGGAAAAAAAAAGAAAAAAAUAGUGGAAGCCGCCGUGAAGAAUUUUUUUUAGGGGGGAGAAAGGAAAAAAAGAAAAAAAAAAAAAGGCUCUGGCCGGUUCGUGGGGUGGAUGAGCUCUGCCUAGGCCUUUCGGAGCAAAACAACUUGAAUUGCAAAUGCGUCUCCUGUGCCUUCGCUUGCCUUGUUGACUUUGUGGGUCUAUUCAGCAAGAGGAAUGGGAAUGUAAAUAAUAUAAGUCCAACUCUUCUUGUUUUUCCAGCCUGAUAAUUACUAUCUCGGUUUUCUCCCCGGAUUUGUCUGGGAUAGCGUUUUGGUGCGAGGACGGGGAAUUUCCUUUGGCGGCAGGAAAAUAAUGAAUGGACAAUAAAUUUGCUUUUUAUUUCUUCGAUUGCUUUAUGCUGAUCGGCAUGUCAGCCCUCUCUCGCCGAUAAUGCUGGCGGCUGAAUGGGGCUGCUUGUGUUGUAAUUUGAUUACAGUCCCUUAUCUCGCGGUUAAACUUCAUGCGUUGAAAUCUCACUCUGAUUUGGGGCUCAUCCCAUUUGGCUCGUUGCUCGCGCUGGCUGCGGCGCGACGUAUCUCAGCACCUUGUUUACUGCUGCCCCUGCCUGCUCAACAGGCUUGCGAAGGCUCUUAAAUCUAAAAAAUCUGUUUUUUAAUGUAUUCUUCCAUUCCUAAGUGAAAGUGGUUGCUGAUUUGGGGAGGGGGGGUGCUAAACAGGACGUUUUAUUUCCUAAUGCUUAAAAUAGCAAUAUUAAUGUUGGCAAUGACAUCUUUAAAUCUGUGGCUUCUGAUGCAUAGACAGUCUGGGGGGUGUAUUUUUUUUGGUUUUGGUGGCUUUGGGGUGGUUUUUUUUCUUUUUUUUUUUUUGCUUUUAUUUUGUUUUUCUAGUUCAGGGACGGUCCGGUUGUCUUUCUGCUUCGCACGACGUGUCUCGCCCCAGAGGCCGGGCCGUCGCGGAGGGGCGAGGGUGGCCCGGUGCGUCCUUGGCACUGGGCUGUGACGCCUGGUCCGCAGCUGGGUGCGGCGCUGGCCGGUGCGGGGCUAGUGCUGGGCACGGGAAGGGCCGGGUACUGCAGGGACCAGCGGCAUCGAUAGCGUUUCUGGUGGCUUCGUGGAAUCUCCUGUUGGGGACAAAAAGUCGGUUUGCGGAAAGUUUUUGUUUGGCACGGGAAACUUCUCUUUAUUUCCUUUCUGCUUGUUUUGUUGUUUUUGCAGCCAGCAGGGAUGUAGGGGUGAGAAGGGAAACCUUGUUUGUGCCAUUUUGGGACAGCUGAUAAUAGAAAGCAACACUUGGGUACUAUGUGUUUUUACAUGCCAUGAGGCAAAUGAGGUCCCUGCCCCGUGGACCUUCUGCUCUGGUGGACCCCAUGCAGACACCGAAGGUGAAGGUUUCUGGGAGACGUAACUGUGGAUUUAUGAACAUGCUCUUUCUUCUCCCUAUUUCUUUAAGAAGUGAAUGUGCCUAGGAAACAAUUAUUUUGUGUGUAAGGCCAAUGUCCCCUCCCCACCCACCCCAUCUGAGAAGGACCAGGUGGAGGAUGAUGGAGGAACGUGGCCUUCAGCCCUCCUAAUCUUCUCUGCUGAGAUAACAAAGAUGCCAGUUGCUUUUACCAGCUAUGUUUUUUCCCAGUGAGACCUCAAACAGUUUUUACCUGUGCUGCGAGGCUGACAGUAAGAAAUAAUAAUUUGUGGGACAGAUGUGCUCCAGAGAGGUAGCAAUGACAUCAUUGUUGUCUUAAUGUUAGCAAUGCAAGAAACUCUGCAAUUUUACAUUAGGCUCUUCCUUCUGAGGAGCGAUCUGGGAGGAAUUUGAAUCUCUUUCACGUUUUCAUACGCUGGGGAAAAAGGCUGGAACAAUUUUUAAAUCUUGUACAUUUUUCUUAAUCCUCUUGGGAAGGAAAAGUAACAAAUCUCCCUCUUUUUAGUUGGCCUUUUGCCACUUAGUCUGCCCUUGUUCGUGCCAUGAGUCUUUUAAUUUAGCUUCUGUUACAAUAGCAGUAUUUUUUUUGAACAAAGAACAGCAAUUUUGGAACUAUUCCGAUGGCCAGAAGCAAGAAAGCAUUUAACGAGGUGAAGAGGUGAGACCAACGGUGAAUAAAAUGGUGGGCUGAGCAGCACUGAAAGAAAAACACUGCUGAUCAUAACUUUAAAGUUAUGCGUGAGUUGAUUUAUGCAAAGUUGCAUUAAGACAGGUAGUCCAGUAAUAAAUAAUAGUGAAGCUCCCAGGCAGUUGCACUGAGCAAUGAUGCUCUGCUUGUGUAAAUAAGUGCAGACCUAUUGAUUUGAACCGCGCUCUGCCAGGCGCCUUAGCAGAAAAUCAGUUCCGCUUAAUUUUUAGUUGCACGCUGCGGAUUUGCAUGUCUCUAAUCUUCUUGCUGUUGUGCUCGUCGUCGUCCCAGUGCUUUACUGAUUGCGUUGGCUCGGCAGAUCCUUGGUGGUGAGGACCUUCGCUUACUCCGAAGGUGCACCAUGUUGUUUGCAUAUGCAAGAAUAACAACUGCUGCCUGGUUUUAACAUUGCAUCCUUUCCCUUUUGUGCGUGCAUGUGUAAAUGUUAGUUAUCUGGGGCAGGGAAUGGUGCUGGUCUGUGAACUACCACCUUUAGCUAGCUACAUAGCACCGUGAGAAGACCAGCGUCCCUCCUGCCAGAGCUAAGUGUCUCCUUUCCGCUUCCUCGGUCAGCCUUAAACUAUCUCUUGCUAUUGGGUGAUGUGCCACAAAUGACCUGUUUGAGGAUUUGAUAGACACGCUAAUAUGCUGCCACACUGCUCUCUUGGAUUUUUCCUCCUGCUUGCCGGACAGUUGAAGUACAUCUCCCUUUAGUGCCUGGGGAUUAAGUCUGACCGGAGGGGGAGGAAGGAUAGUUGCGAGUCUUGGAUAACGCUUCCAGCGAGCUACCAGUGCAUGCACUAGAGAGAGGGAAGGUGAGCCUGACCUUGUCUUUUGAGUGUAUAUAAAAAUAUAUAUAGCUGAGUUUAAGCCUGGGAGAAUAAAGUGGGGUCAGGGGUCUCCCAAGCCCUAUAUCUGUAUAAUGUGAUUAUCCUUUGCUUGCUGAUUUCUGCCUAAUGCUGUGGUAGACCCUUGAACAUCUGGAGUCAAUGAGUUAACGAGUAGCCUUUGCUUUCUCAGGUCCAGUGCAUAAUGUAAAGAUUUGGUGGUAAACAAGGAAAUAAACUAGCUGAGGGAGAAAGGUAUCAUUUAAAUUCUAACGACAUGAAGUUAUAAUUGGGCUGAAGUGGAGAGGUUAGUUUGUUCACUGGGCUGUGUGGUUAAAAUAAUUGUAAGUCUUGGAUGUAGCACUGGAAACUUUAAAAUCUCUAAUGGAGAACUUUCUGGGGCUGUUUGCUUUGAGAUGGCCCUGGUUGUUCCCGGGUGCUGAAGAGAAAGAACAGGUUCCCCGUAGGCGAGGACUGGAGGUUCAUUAUGGAGGUGGCCCAGGCAGCCCUUUCAAAGCAGCUUUCAGCUUGGUUCCUUCUCCAAGGCAUUCUUCUCCAGGUGCGUUGGCGACCUCGAGCAGAGUUGUGAGCACUUUGCAAGGUUGCCGGUUUGGUGCUGAUCAUGCGGGGCCGGGUGCGAGCGGGGCUCUUCCCCACGAUGCCGGAGCGACCCGCACCAGCAAGGCAGCUCCGAGGGAGCGUAUCCUGCAGCGGAGAGAUGCUGAGAAAUGUUCGUUCUGCUCAAAAUGUAAAGAAGUAAACAAGGGAGUCCUGCAACUGGAGAGACUGUGAUAAAAGGUCUAUUUUGGAUUUUGGAGCACAAUAGGACGAAGAAGUGCUUAAAAUGUAUCCGCACAUCAUUUCAGGCCAUUCAGGAGAUCAGCAGUCCGUUGCUUUUGGAAUAAACUUAGACAAAUGAGCGUCGUUUAUCCUUUCUGAUGAAAUAGAGACUGGUCUGCAACACCAGGCGAUCUUCUGGCAGACAAGCUGCUAUCGUCGUUGAAACCUUUUUUUCUUGUGUCCUAGUAAGACCCACUAAAUAAAGGCUUUUACAUGUCAUAGGACAGUGUUU